AUCAUACUCCCUCCGUCCCAAAAUUCUUGUCUUAGAUUUGUCUAGAUACAGAUGUAUCUAAUAAUAAAACGUGACUUGAUACAUCCAUAUUUAAAAAAAAAUUAAGACAAGAAUUUUGGGACGGAGGGAGUAUUUC
rfam:Triticum aestivum genome assembly, contig: Triticum_aestivum_CS42_TGACv1_scaffold_223550_3B